GAUGAACGCUGGCGGCGUGCCUAAUACAUGCAAGUCGAGCGAACAGACGAGGAGCUUGCUCCUCUGACGUUAGCGGCGGACGGGUGAGUAACACGUGGAUAACCUACCUAUAAGACUGGGAUAACUUCGGGAAACCGGAGCUAAUACCGGAUAAUAUAUUGAACCGCAUGGUUCAAUAGUGAAAGACGGUUUUGCUGUCACUUAUAGAUGGAUCCGCGCCGCAUUAGCUAGUUGGUAAGGUAACGGCUUACCAAGGCAACGAUGCGUAGCCGACCUGAGAGGGUGAUCGGCCACACUGGAACUGAGACACGGUCCAGACUCCUACGGGAGGCAGCAGUAGGGAAUCUUCCGCAAUGGGCGAAAGCUUGACGGAGCAACGCCGCGUGAGUGAUGAAGGUCUUCGGUUCGUAAAACUCUGUUAUUAGGGAAGAACAAAUGUGUAAGUAACUAUGCACGUCUUGACGGUACCUAAUCAGAAAGCCACGGCUAACUAC
rnacentral:rRNA from 1 species